rnacentral:rRNA from 1 species
GACAGAGGUCUCGAGCGUUAGGCGGAAUCACUGGGCUUAAAGCGUGUGUAGGCGGACUUGUAAGUACCUUGUGAAAUCCCACGGCUCAACCGUGGAACUGCUUGGUAUACUGCUUGUCUUGGGCCAUCUAGGGGUUACCGGAACAAACGGUGGAGCGGUGAAAUGCGUAGAUAUCAGGAGGAACACCAAUGGCGAAGGCAGCUCGCUGGGACGUGACUGACGCUGAGACGCGAAAGCGUGGGGAGCAAACAGG